AGUAUCCAUAUCAACCUCUUGAAUAAGGUCGCGCAUCAUCUUUGCCAAGUAGCUCUUACCACUACCUGGAAGCCCUCGAAGGAUUAUCACAAUAUGUUCAGGACGGGAAGCCCAAUAAGGCUGCUUAAAUAAUUGAGAAAUUGUUUGCUUAUCUGGAGAUAACUGCUUUGAAAGAGAAGACGUCUGCAGUUGCUCUGAAGAAAACGCCAUUGAAACAUGUGAAAGAGGCUUAUUUUGCAAGACGGAAUUAGUUGCUGAGGAACUAAUAGGAACAGGAAACAAGGAAGUUUUUGGUGGUGAAGUGUAGCCUUUAAACUCGAUUGGAACAGGAGUUGGUGGUGAAGCAGGACGAGGUGGAGGAGGAGGAAGAGGCUGACCACCGAUUGCCCUAUUUUCAGGGCAAGGCAAGUAACCUCCUGGCUCGUUCAUAGUCGAAACAACGUGGCCAGGGGAUUGAUAAUCAGGUCUCAAAUAAUUAGGCAUUCCAUGAGAUUGCGAUGGCCGAUUGUCCUGCCAGUUCCUCACAUGAGAAUACUGUGAUCCUUCCGCUGACAUUGAAUCAUUAAACUGAUUCUGUGGCAAAUUAAGAUCAGCAUAAGGCUCAUUACGAACUUCAGGGACUUGAUAAGGCAGACUGAGAGAUCCGCGCGCCUGCUGCUUUCCAGCAUUUGGCCGGAAAGGACUGAACAUGGUACUCCCAUCAUUCUGCAAACGAUUAUGUCCAACACCACCACCAGGCUCCCAGUUCCGCGAAUACUCAAAAUGAUUAUUCAUGUCUACAUUCCUACCAUAACUUGCAUUGAAAUCCAAACUAUAUCUCACAUUCGUCAAAUACCCACUCAAAGCGCCGCCAUGAUCGCGUAUCAGCUUCAAUCUACGCUCAUCGUUAGAUAAGAUUUUCCCCCGAUUUGGUUAUUCUCGUGUCCAUAUAGAGUAGAUCCAAUCUCAUCAACCCUUGGCCGUUUAUAUCUCCUAUCUACUUCACCAAUAUUGCUAUUAGUAUUGUUAUGAUCAUACACCGGCAGCCCAAAUCCUUCCCUGCAAUCGAAACUCUGGUUUCUGUGCCACCCGUCGUUUGGAUUGGCCAUUUACGGGCCGGGCAUACCCGCAUGGUAUGGGUCGGGUGGCGGAUAAUCUAGAUGCGGUGGGAAUCUGGGGUUUUGAUUGUAUGGAGGAUAAGGAGAAAGAGCUUGGGAAGGGCAAAAUGGGAAAUGAGAAGCGAAGCAGACGGGGCAGAUAUUACCUUGCGGAGGAAGUAAGGGCCGCCAUUGAUGGUCCAUGAUUGCGCUACAGAUUAAUUUCAAGAAACCCUAACAAAUCCAGAGCUGUUCAUGCAGAGAGAAAUUAGGAUUUAGCUAAUUAGGGAAAUUGCGUGGGGUUUCUAUAUAAGUAAAUAAAUAUAUAUUUUUUUUGCAAAAAGGCAGUAAAAUUAUCAGGUGGACACUGGACAAUGGAACCGACAAGAGAACCUUAAAAACACUAUCUUAUGUAUAAUCAAACACACAGCUGCAGGAUUUCUACUCCAAGUAACUCAAUCUUCUUCUCUUUCUAUAAUUUUAGGAAAUUCAGUUUAAAAUUGAGAGCUUUCUGAGUUUCCUGGGACCUCUAGAGAAAGAUAUAAUCUUCCUAGCCCUAUCAUCUUAGGUCCCCAUGAACUACCAGAGGGAAAAGAAUUAAAUUAUGAACAAAUGAAAUCAAAUAGCAUAAAACAUCUACCUAGCCCUGACGAAGAAAUCCAAAAGACACCCUUUUCUAUUUUUAACUGGAGCUAACUGCUCCAAGAUUUCCAAAAUCAGCUUUUCAAAUCCAAGCCAACAAAGCCAUCAAUGCCUAACAAUGAAGGGUGCUCCCUCCUAAAUCAUUAUGCCAUCAGGGGUCAAGUUUGGGAAAUAUUUUCCAGGGAUUGUUCCGGAAUUCCAUUUUACAACUUUUUGAUCCUUUGGAAGCAGGAUUAGUUGUUCUUGAACUGCCUUUAGCUUCUUUAGAUCCCCAAACAGAUCAAAACAGAAAAAUGCAAUAAUAAAACUCUCCAAACAUGAUG
rnacentral:misc_RNA from 1 species